rnacentral:rRNA from 1 species
AACGAACGUUGGCGGCGUGGAUUAGGCAUGCAAGUCGGGGGAAUCCCAGCAAUGGGGGAACCGGCGUAAGGGCAGUAAGGCGUGGAUGACCUACCCCGCGGUUCGGGCCAGCCCGUCGAGAGACGGGGUAAUCCCGGAUGACGUCUCGCGACCAAAGGUUUACCGCCGCGGGAGGGGUCCACGUGGUAUUAGCUAGUUGGUGGGGUAACGGCCCACCAAGGCGGAGAUGCCUAGCGGGUGUGAGAGCACGACCCGCGCCACUGGCACUGAGACACUGGCCAGACACCUACGGGUGGCUGCAGUCGAGGAUCUUCGGCAAUGGGCGCAAGCCUGACCGAGCGACGCCGCGUGUGCGACCGAAGGCCUUCGGGUUGUAAAGCACUGUCGAGGGGGAGGAAAGCCCAAGGGUGUGACCUAUCCCUGGAGGAAGCACGGGCUAAGUUCGUGCCAGCCGCCGCCGUAAAAC